UUUGAAUAUAGAUGCAACUGCUACAAUUAUGUCCAACAGAAUGAAGGGGUUUGAUUUUAAAAAAGACUUAAGAGUCUUAAGAGAAGAGUUUAAUGAAUAGGGGAGAGUCAGAAGAAGUUGUUCAGAAGAAAAAGUGGUUUUGAAAGCCAGAAACUGAGGUGCAAAGAUAGAUUAAAACAGAAAAAAACCGUUCAGGCAUAGCAUGCCCAGCUAUUAUUAAAUCAUACAACGAAAACAUGGGUGGUGUAGAUGUUUCCGACCAAAUGAUGGAAUACUAUCGAUCUUUCUUUCGAACCCGGAUAUGGAUUUUUAAAGUCAUCCUACAUUUGUUCGAAUUAGCAAUAGUAAACAGCUGGAUGAAGUAUUAAAGGGAUUGUUAUAGUCAAAACCUUCGAAGCAAAGAUAUUAUGGAUCUUUUGGAAUUUAGACUUAAUCUUGAGGAAUAUCUGAUUGCCGGUACUAAGAAGCGUGUAUUGGAGGAAACAGAAUGUCAAGAAAAUAUAGAGGAAGAGACUAGCGUUGAAGGAAAUGAAAUAAAAAAGAGAAGAAUGCCUUCCAGUUUGCCCUGUGCAGAGAAACGCUUUGAUGGUUUUGAACACCGGUCAAAGAAUGAAGAAAUGAAGAACCCAGUUAAAUGCAGGUCCAACUGCUGAAUUAUAUACGGAAUAAUCAAACGGCGUCAACAAACAUCUUCUGGCUAAACGGGUAUUUCUAAAUUAAUGUAUAUCCACCAUCCAUAAGCGGGCACUUUACCAUAUACAAAAUAAAUAAAACUGAUUUUCCAUAAGGGCUACAAUGACCUACAGUUACUGACAUAUCGAUGGUCCAGUUCCAUAAAGCACCAAGUCCAAAAUGCAUGUUUUUUAUUUAUAGGCUCUUAAACAUAACGCGCACAUUUAAUUGUUCCAUAAAAAGUUUUCUGUGGGUAUAUUUUAAAUUGUAGGUGAUGAGAUUUAUUGAAGACACUCGGAGCAAUAGGAGUCAGAUACAAUAAAUAAUAUAUA